rnacentral:lncRNA from 1 species
GGAGACAAGCCAUUUCUACCCAGCUUCCCCAAAUGACAGGACUGUGAUUAAGCUCACAAGUUCCUGUGAUACGGCAUGGAUGGAGACAAGGAUGAGACUGAGCCUUGACCUUGAGGGAGUCUAGUGAGUCCUAGCUUAUGGAAUUUGUUUUCAUAAAAUAAAACAGUUUCAUCUCAGAAGUUAAGGUCAGAGGACUCACAGCAAAGGAAGAAUUCUUCUGGCUCAUAGUCUGCUUAAUGUUUCAUAAUAAAACAAACCAAAAAGCCAAUU